UUUGUAGAGGAUGCUUCUGGGUAGCGGCCCGGUCUAAGUUCCUUGGAACAGGACGUCAUAGAGGGUGAGAAUCCCGUAUGUGACUGGCUUGCACCCUCCACGUAGCUCCUUCGACGAGUCGAGUUGUUUGGGAAUGCAGCUCUAAAUGGGAGGUAAAUUUCUUCUAAAGCUAAAUACCGGCCAGAGACCGAUAGCGCACAAGUAGAGUGAUCGAAAGAUGAAAAGCACUUUGGAAAGAGAGUUAAAAAGCACGUGAAAUUGUUGAAAGGGAAGCGCCCGCAACCAGACUUUGCGGCAGUGUUCGGCCGGUCUUCUGACCGGUUUACUCGCUGUCGUGAGGCCAUCAUCGUCUGGGACCGCUGGAUAAGACCUUAGGAAUGUAGCUUCCCUCGGGAAGUGUUAUAGCCUCUGGUGAUGCAGCGCGUCUCGGGCGAGGUCCGCGCUUCGGCAAGGAUGAUGGCGUAAUGGUUGUCGGCGGCCCGUCUUGAAACACGGACCAAGGAGUCUAACAUCUAUGCGAGUGUUCGGGUGUCAAACCCCUACGCGUAAUGAAAGUGAACGGAGGUGGGAACUUUUUGUGCACCAUCGACCGAUCCUGAUGUCCUCGGAUGGAUUUGAGUAAGAGCAUAGCUGUUGGGACCCGAAAGAUGGUGAACUAUGCCUGAAUAGGGUGAAGCCAGAGGAAACUCUGGUGGAGGC
rnacentral:rRNA from 1 species